GGAGUAGACAAAAUGGUCGCUGCGCCUCAUAGAAGGCGCAGAGGAAAGUCCGAGCUCCACAGGGCAGGGUGGUCGCUAACGGCGACUGGGGGCGACCCCAAGGAAAGUGCCACAGAAAAUAUACCGCCUUCGCGGACACGGAGGUAAGGGUGAAAAGGUGAGGUAAGAGCUCACCAGUAUCCCGGGUGACCGGGAUAGCUCGGCAAACCCCACCCGGAGCAAGACCAAAUAGGAAAGCGCGAGACAGCAUGCUGUUUCACAGGCUGGCCCGGCCUGCUGCUUUCGGGUAGGUCGCUUGAGGCGUCUGGCAACAGGCGUCCCAGAUGAAUGACCAUUGCCCUGCUUUCUGGCAGGGAACAGAACUCGGCUUAUUGUCUACUCCGGUU
rnacentral:RNase_P_RNA from 1 species